rnacentral:other from 20 species
CACUACCGGGGGUGUUCGUUAUUAGUUACGUCCCUGAGCCGAUAAUUGAAAACUUUGAGUUGAACAUCUAAUCGCUGGUGAGCAAGCUUACCUUGAGUAAGAAGCCUAAAAGCUAUUAAGCUUAACUCCCUUGAACCAUUUGGUUCAAGGGCCUUCACUGAUAACGGCACUCCGGGUAUCUU